CCCGUUCAUGCUUCACAUAAAUAUUCAAAACAAAUAGUAAAUUUAGUAUAUUGCAAUACUUGGGCUUACACACCCCAAAAGAACAAAACAUAUAGCCAUACUUAAUUUACAACCCAUGGUGACAUGAUCACAUAAGUCAUCGAAAUUUCAUGUGAAUAUACAACACAAAGAUCAUGUACAAGUCCCAAGGUUUAUACAAAAUAUAGAUGCCUAAAUGCAAAUGUGA
rnacentral:lncRNA from 1 species